UAAGAUUUAGGUUAAUUAAACCAAUUACCUUCAAAGUAAUCAAUAAGCACUAUAAUACUUAAUCUUUA
rnacentral:tRNA from 1 species